rnacentral:rRNA from 1 species
AACAAACGCUGGCGGCGUGCCUAAUACAUGCAAGUCGAACGGGGAAAGCUUUCGGGUGAGUACUAGUGGCGCACGGGUGAGGAACGCGUGGAUAAUCUGCCUUAGAGUGGGGGAUAACUAGUCGAAAGAUUAGCUAAUACCGCAUAAGACCACGAGAGCUGCGGCUUUUGAGGUCAAAGGUUUUUCGCUCUAAGAUGAGUCCGCGUAAGAUUAGCUAGUUGGUGAGGUAACGGCUCACCAAGGCGACGAUCUUUAACUGGUCUGAGAGGAUGAUCAGUCAACCUGAAAAUGAGACACGGUCCAGCCCCCUCCGGGAGCAGGAGGUGGGAAAAAUUGAAAAAGGGAGAAAACUCGGAGGCAGCGCCGCGGCGGGGGUAAUGAAGGCCUUGGGGUCGAAAAGCUCUGUCGAGGGGAAAAAACAAAUGAAGGGACCCCUUAAAAAAGGAUCGGGUAACCUGCG